rnacentral:rRNA from 1 species
UACGAAGGGUGCAAGCGUUACUCGGAAUUACUGGGCGUAAAGCGUGCGUAGGUGGUUCGUUAAGUCUGAUGUGAAAGCCCUGGGCUCAACCUGGGAAUGGCAUUGGAAACUGGCGACCUAGAGUGCGGUAGAGGGCAGUGGAAUUCCCGGUGUAGCAGUGAAAUGCGUAGAGAUCGGGAGGAACAUCUGUGGCGAAGGCGGCUGCGUGGACCAGCACUGACACUGAGGCACGAAAGCGUGGGGAGCAAACAGG